rnacentral:rRNA from 1 species
GUGGGGAAUCUUGCGCAAUGGGCGAAAGCCUGACGCAGCCAUGCCGCGUGAAUGAUGAAGGUCUUAGGAUUGUAAAAUUCUUUCACCGGGGACGAUAAUGACGGUACCCGGAGAAGAAGCCCCGGCUAACUUCGUGCCAGCAGCCGCGGUAAUACGAAGGGGGCUAGCGUUGCUCGGAAUUACUGGGCGUAAAGCGCACGUAGGCGGUCUUUUAAGUCAGAGGUGAAAGCCCAGGGCUCAACCUUGGAAUUGCCUUUGAUACUGGCUGUCUUGAGUACGGGAGAGGUGAGUGGAACUCCGAGUGUAGAGGUGAAAUUCGUAGAUAUUCGGAAGAACACCAGUGGCGAAGGCGACUCACUGGCCCGUUACUGACGCUGAGGCGCGAAAGCGUGGGGAGCAAACAGGAUUAGAAACCCCUGUAGUCC